GGUUGAGGUAACAACUUUGGGCAUGGCCAGCUCCUAUAGUGUGAUGGGAACCAUACCAAUGCUUGACAUACCAUGAAUCCUCCUAAAGAAGAGGAGUGCCUUUAGGUAUGCAGAUACAACGGAUGCAUGGUUAUCAGUGGCUUGUGCAAUAAGGUGUUGGGUCAGUAAUGGCAAGAAGUGCAGCCCUCUAUUUAAUUGCUGUCAUCAUGUUUGGAACCCCAAACAGAUUGUCAAAGGAAGUUGAGGAUGACAUCAAGCCAUCGUGCCUCUUACACUCUAGGGGACAUUCUGUAGUGGCUGGGACAAAGGGUCACGAUCCUGCGAGGGAAAGCUAACCUUAAAAACAUGCAUCAAAUCAGAUUGCAAGCUGAAAAUUGCCUACCUGAAGCCAGAAUUGUUAGUAAUCAUUGGUUAGACAUACAGUGGGGGAUCCACUCUUGAGCC
rfam:Picea glauca, whole genome shotgun sequence.